rnacentral:rRNA from 1 species
UAGCUGGUCUGAGAGGACGACCAGCCACACUGGAACUGAGACACGGUCCAGACACCUACGGGUGGCAGCAGUCGAGGAUUUUUCUCAAUGGGGGCAACCCUGAAGGAGCGACGCCGCGUGGAGGAUGAAGGGCUUCGGCUUGUAAACUCCUGUCACCGACGAACAAGGCAUCCGGUUGAACAUUCCGGGUGAUUGAUGGUAGUCGGAGAGGAAGGGGCGGCUAACUCUGUGCCAGCAGCCGCGGUGAUACAGAGGCCCCGAGCGUUGUUCGGAUUUACUGGGCGUAAAGGGUGUGUAGGGGGUCGGGUAAGUUUGACGUGAAAGCCCGCUGCUUAACAGCGGAACGGCGUCGAAUACUGCCCGGCUGGAGGUUCGGAGAUGAGAGCGGAAUUCUCGGUGUAGCGGUGAAAUGCGUAGAUAUCGAGAGGAACGCCGACGGCGAAAGCAGCUCUCAAGACGACACCUGACCCUGAGACACGAAGGCCAGGGGAGCAAACGGGAUUAGAUACCCCGGUAGUCCUGGCAGUAAACGGUGCUCAUUAGACGUGGGCGGAUUCGACCCCGCCCGUGUCGAACCUAACGGAUUAAAUGAGCCGCCUGGGAAGUACGGUCGCAAGAUUAAAACUCAAAGAAAUUGACGGGGGCCCGCACAAGCGGUGGAGUAUGUGGCUUAAUUCGAUGCAACGCGAAGAACCUUACCUGGCCUUGACAUGCUGAGUUCAGGCGUGGAAACACGCUGGCCCGCAAGGGCGAUCUGCACAGGUGCUGCAUGGCUGUCGUCAGCUCGUGUCGUGAGAUGUUGGGUUAAGUCCCGCAACGAGCGCAACCCUCGUGACUAGUUAAUCCCGGGCAACCGGAUUCUGGUCAGACUGCCCUGUGAAACGGGGAGGAAGGUGGGGACGACGUCAAGUCCGUAUGGCCCUUACGGCCAGGGCUGCACACGUACUACAAUGCUCACUACAGAGGGACGCAAGACCGCAAGGUGGAGCCAAUCCCUGAAAGGUGAGCCCAGUUCGGAUUGGAGGCUGCAACUCGCCUCCAUGAAGCCGGAAUCGCUAGUAAUGGCGCAUCAGCUACGGCGCCGUGAAUACGUUCCCGGGCCUUGUACACACCGCCCGUCACAUCAUGAAAGCCGGUCUUACCCGAAGUCGUCUUUGACGCCCAAGGUAAGGCUGGUGAUUGGGAUGAAGUCGUAACAAGGUAGCCGUAGGGGAACCUGCGGCUG